rnacentral:lncRNA from 1 species
CGGCACCUCCUCUGUUUCCCAUUUCAAGCUCACAGGAAGGACUUCGUGCAACAAUUGAGACAAGGUCAGGGUGUUUUCUGCAAGUUAUAGACUCACAGAAAUAGUGCUGUGUGGGGACCUAUAUGUAAGAAUGUUUGUUAUUUCAUGUGGGAAGCGCUGUUAACUUGUAAAUUCAAUAGGAAAUAGUAGGAAAUUCUAAAAAUUGCAAAACCAGUUUUGUUAGAAACUAGAUUUGGAGCUCUACAACUUCUAUUAAAUAAGUUUGUUAUGAAAUCAAAUAGUUUCGAAUCUAUGUUAA